UACGUAGGGUGCGAGCGUUGUCCGGAAUUAUUGGGCGUAAAGAGCUCGUAGGCGGUCUGUCGCGUCGGUCGUGAAAACUUGGGGCUUAACCCUGAGCUUGCGGUCGAUACGGGCAUGACUGGAGUUCGGCAGGGGAGACUGGAAUUCCUGGUGUAGCAGUGAAAUGCGUAGAGAUCAUGAGGAAGACCAGUGGCGAAGGCGGGUCUCUGGACAGUUCCUGACACUGAGGCACGAAGGCCAGGGGAGCAAACGGG
rnacentral:rRNA from 1 species